AGCCGCCGCGGUAACACCGGCGGCCCGAGUGGUGAUCGUGAUUAUUGGGUCUAAAGGGUCCGUAGCCGGUUUGGUCAGUCCUCCGGGAAAUCUGAUAGCUCAACUAUUAGGCUUUCGGGGGAUACUGCCAGACUUGGAACCGGGAGAGGUAAGAGGUACUACAGGGGUAGGAGUGAAAUCUUGUAAUCCCUGUGGGACCACCUGUGGCGAAGGCGUCUUACCAGAACGGGUUCGACGGUGAGGGACGAAAGCUGGGGGCACGAACCGGAUUAGAUACCCGGGUAGUCCCAGCCGUAAACGAUGCUCGCUAGGUGUCAGGCAUGGCGCGACCGUGUCUGGUGCCGCAGGGAAGCCGUGAAGCGAGCCACCUGGGAAGUACGGCCGCAAGGCUGAAACUUAAAGGAAUUGGCGGGGGAGCACAACAACGGGUGGAAGCCUGCGGUUUAAUUGGACUCAACGCCGGACAACUCACCGGGGGCGACAGCAAUAUGUAGGCCAAGCUGAAGACUUUGCCUGAAUCGCUGAGGGGAGGUGCAUGG
rnacentral:rRNA from 1 species